rnacentral:rRNA from 1 species
AGCGAACGCUGGCGGCAGGCUUAACACAUGCAAGUCGAGCGGGCAUCCUUGUGGUGUCAGCGGCAGACGGGUGAGUAACGCGUGGGAACGUGCCCUUCGGUUCGGAAUAACUCAGGGAAACUUGAGCUAAUACCGGAUACGCCCUUUUGGGGAAAGGUUUACGUCCGAAGGAUCGGCCCGCGUCUGAUUAGCUAGUUUGUGAGGUUAUGGCUCACCAAGGUGACGAUCAGUAGCUGGUCUGAGAGGAUGAUCAGCCACACUGGGACUGAGACACGGCCCCGACUCCUACGGGAGGCAGCAGUGGGGAAUAUUGGACAACGGGGGCAACCCUGAUCCAGCCAUGCCGCGUGAGUGAGGACGGCCUUAGGGUUGUAAAGCUCUUUUCUCCGGGACGAUAAUGACGGUACCGGAGGAAUAAGCCCCGGCUAACUUCGUG